rnacentral:tRNA from 11 species
GGGGUGGUGGCGCAGUUGGCUAGCGCGUAGGUCUCAUAGCUUUUUCAGUGAUCCCGAGGUCGAGAGUUAGAAACUCUCUCACCCAA